CUCGCGUGUCGUGUCAGCCGCCGCGGUAAUACAGAGGGUGCAAGCGUUAAUCGGAAUUACUGGGCGUAAAGCGAGCGUAGGUGGCUUGAUAAGUCAGAUGUGAAAUCCCCGGGCUUAACCUGGGAACUGCAUCUGAUACUGUUGAGCUAGAGUAGGUGAGAGGAAGGUAGAAUUCCAGGUGUAGCGGUGAAUGCGUAGAGAUCUGGAGGAAUACCGAUGGCGAAGGCAGCCUUCUGGCAUCAUACUGACACUGAGGCUCGAAGCGUGGGUAGACAAACNGGAUUAGAUACCCUGGUAGUCCACGCCGUAAACGAUGUCUACUAGUCGUUGGGUCCCUUGA
rnacentral:rRNA from 1 species